GACGAACGCUGGCGGCGCGCUUAACACAUGCAAGUCGAACGGAAAGGCCUGCUUUCCCUUGUGGUUUGCGGGUACUCGAGUGGCGAACGGGUGAGUAACACGUGAGUGAUCUGCCCCCAACUUGGGUAUAAGCCUGGGAAACUGGGUCUAAUUCCCGAUUGGACUGCAGGGGGGUGCCGGUGGUGGAAAACGAUUUUCUAGUGGUUGGGGAUGAGCUCGCGGCCUAUCAGCUUGUUGGUGGGGUAAUGUCCGACCAAGGCGGCGACAGGUAGCCGGCCUGAGAGGGUGGACGGCCACAUUGGGACUGGGAUAAGGCCCUGGCGCCUACGCGAAGUCGCAGUCGGGACUAUUGCAAACUGGGCGGAAGCCUGAUGCAGCGACGCCGCGUGGGGGAUGCCGGCCUUCGGGUUGUAAGCUUCUUUCGAGCGCGAGGAAGCCACCUGGUUGGAAGGGUGGUGACGGUAGUGGUAGAAGAAGCACCGGCUAACUACGUG
rnacentral:rRNA from 1 species